AGAUGUGAAGGGACUUACUGCUGAGAAUGUAACAAUCAACAAUAAUCGAGAACCCGAAACAAGCAACCAAGAACCUGAUACGAACUCUAAUCCAAGCAAUGCGCAGCCAUCAAACUCGGAAUCUCGAGCACAACAAAAUUCUGAUGCAGAGGCUGUUGACAAUGAUGAUGACCUGGUCAGUACCACUCAACAGGAUGGAGAUAUGCGUUUUGGUUUUGAAGAUGUGGAACAGCUCAUGAAUGAAAUUGGUAAUGUUCGUGGCAACUUGAGGUUGAUGCCCGAUUUCCAGAGGAGGGAAAUGGCUGCAAAAGUGGCAAUAAAAAUGGCUGCGAUGUUUGGAGAUAGCAGUGCUGAUGAAGAGGGGUUUGAUUGAUAAAGCUUGUGUCAUAAUAAGCAAAGUGAACCGAUCAACAGCUCCUCCAUUUGUCUGCUGAUUACAAGUCAAAUUCAUGUUAAUUGAAGAAUUGGAAUAUCUGUAAAAAAAAAAUGUGGUGAAUCAUCCUUUCUUUACUUUUUUUUUUGCUUAUAAAAGGGUGUAAGGUAAGGGUACUUUUAAUCAUGAUUUUUCUUAAAAUUUAAGGGCACACUUCUCAUGUCAGUAAAUCUUGAUCGAUACUCUAGAGAGUAGAAAGUAAUUUCUUUAAGGUUCUAUUAGACAGAAGCCGCGAGCUCCAUGUAUUGGAUUCAGGUUAUCUGACGUAGACACCAAAAUUAAUGUCCCACAUCGGACAUAAACUCGAAAAACAAUAUUUUAAAUAAUAUUGAUGCAGUUACAUUAGUUGCCCAGGGAUAGGUGGGGAGCUUACCGAUGCUAGGAUUUUCCCAAAAGAAGAGGUUAAGGAUUUGGGCCCAGCCUACCAGAUUAGAAAUUAUUAACUCAAUACAGACUCGGCCCAACAAAAAAUCCUUAUACCAAGCGUCCACGGCAGGGAAAUGCAUACCCACUCUUGAGGGCACCCCCCAAUUUUUUUUUUCUAAUUAAAUAAAUUUCUCAAGAUAAAUUCCUAACCUAACCUCAGAAUCUUUUCAUGACUUUGAUCUCUGAAGUUUGCUGCUCAACUAAAACUAACUAUUUUGGGUUAUACUCGUUUCCGGUUCCGAUUGCAUAUCCAAACAAUGAGUUCCAUUAGCUGUAUACAAGGCUACCAAACGAUUUGAUAUUUCUCUAGUAUUCCUCCCCUACUAUAUGGUCCAUUAGAGAAUAUGAUGUUGCUACCUGUAACGCCCCAAAAUCAUAACACGAAUCCCAAUGAUUAAAUAUCAGAUCUCGAGGCACUCGAACAACCCAACCCAUGAUAAUAAUAUAAUAAUACAAAGUUCUAAAUGAUAAUUAGCAUUAAAAAUACAUAACUUAAUACAAAACAGGAUAAUACAACUACGAUCACCUCUAUACAAAAUUUGUACUAAACACAUCUAUCGUGAGAAUACCUAUAUCAAUACCCUCUGUAACCUCUGCACAACCAUAUCUGCUGAAUCGAUCUAUCCUCGAGCAACUGUUUAACUGAAAAGGGAUUAAUGAUAGGGUGAGCAUUUCCACUUGCUCAGUAGUGACUCACAUUUCCAAAAUACUAUCUAAUCAUGCAUGACGAUUAACCAUACAAAAUAGUUAAAAUAAUGCAGGUUUUAACUGCAAUAAUAAAUAAUAUAAGUAAUUUAAUAAGUAAAUACUUUUAAACCAAAUCUUUUACCUUUUAUAGUAAUCACUAGUUGUACCCGUGGCUUUGCCAUGGUAGUUUCAACUAUUUUUCAUUCUCUGAUAAUUAUUCUUAUGCAGAAUUGAUAAUGAUGUAUACAUUAGUACUAACAAUUACUAUCAAUGAGGAAAACCCUUUAUCCAAUUUAUCUGAGGAGCAAGAUGAGACUAUGCUAGAGUUGUUUGGUUUGAAAUUGGAGCUCACAUAGUAAUGUAUAGAAAUACUUGGAGUAAUUGUGAUAAUGGUUUUAAGAUGGUAGAUAGGAUUUUAUAUAAGCCAUUAAGGUUUCAUUGUAUGACUAUUGUUUGAUAGACUGUACAUCCGACAUCGUGGUAUAAACUCAAUACAGAUGGUGGUGGUAAAAUUUUAACUCACUUUUUGAGCACGCAUUCUAGAAUGUAAGUUGUUUAUUCUUCAAGCAAGCAUACAUGCCUAUCCUAUCUCUUGCAGAGGCAAUACUCACAAAGUCUAAGGCUCACAAUUUCUGAAUCAUACAUAAUAAUAAAACUCACACUGCAGAAUGCCAUAAAACACUCAAAUCAAUGUCACAAAUGAUUUUUUUAUAUCAAUGUCAAAACAAUACAUCCCUGAUCGACAUGUUUAAAUGCACCGUCAGGUUCAAAUAUCACACUAUCAACAUAUUAAAACAACUUACCAGAAAAGAAAGAAAAUAUUUACUGCAGGGGGCCCGUUACUGUAGUGUUGCCAAAAACCUAUCAAAAGUUUGUUCAUGCACUGUGUUUCUCUCUGUGCUGCACUGCUGCCAUGUGAAACUUGUUGCACUGUUUCCCUGCAUCAUCUCCCUCUGUUUGAAUAGUACCCAGCUGCUACCACCUAUCCAUAGUCAAUCCUUGCCAAUCAUUAAUAAAUUUUGAGAAGCUAUAUAUGACCAUUUUCAUGUCAACACCUCUAUUGGUUAUAUAUAUCCAACCAGUCCCAUAAGUGGCUCAUCACCGUCAUAACCACUUUGUUGAUAUUUAGAGUGAUAGUGUUGAAAAUAGUCUCGUUCCUUGUCGUUUACAUUGUCCAUAGGAAAGCAUAUGGUAGGAUUUUUCAAAACAUAGCUGCAAUGUCUCGUAAAUUUCAAAUGCAUGUCCCGUAAUGACGUGUACUUAUUUGGAUGAUUAGAUAUGAUAUCAAACCUUUAAAGACUACUAAGCAAUAACUAACCUACAUUUGAAUUUGGUUACCACGAUUCACUUGCACAUGAGCUCAUCUGUAAAUCUAGCUUGAAAGGGAGUGAGAUUAGAGGACAAAAAAAAUAAAAUAAAAUAAAAUAAAAAUAACAAGGGAGUCUGUCGUACAAACCACAAAAUAAAUAUAAAAGUAUAGAUUAAACUACAUAAUGUAGUGACCCAAUCAAACAUAAGUUCCAGAAAUCUGUAACCUCUACUGUGCCAGUGAGUAUAAGACGGUUCCUUUCACUAUAGAUAUCAUGGAUCCCCCAGUAAUCAUUUUUUUUUCCUGAAAAUGGUCACGUUCCUUGAUUUCCACUGGGUUUAAUUGCUUGAUUCUGGGCCAUUUGGAGAUAGACAUUAAGAAUUGUUAGACACUCAUUAAUUAAUAAUAGCUACCCCUAAAUUUUGUCAACAUUUCUUCCCUAAUUCUAAUUAACAACUACUACUUCUGACAUAUGCUGUCAAAGGAUGGAAGCUCAAAGGAUGGUACAUGGUAUUAACAAAUAGUUGACAGACUAUGUUGCGAUAGACAACUUGGCACAAAGAAGGAUAUACUAUAGUACUCUCAAAUCUCAACAUGUCUAUUUGCAAAAUUGUUGCAAGAUUGUUGAGAAUGAUAGAUCGUAAAGAGCAAAAUGAUAUCAAAUCAUAUACUUUUCAAAUUGGUCUUUUAAAUUGAGAGUUUGUUUGUAAAGAGCAGGACGCUAGAAGAGGCUUUAUGGGUUUGUUUGUAAGUUGAGAUUUUGAGAUGAAUUUUUUUACAAAGAGAUAUGCUAGAAACGUAGAUAAGCAUUCAUAAAUGAAAGAUAAAGGAGUUAAAAUUAACAAAACAUAGCUGAAGGAUUUAAAAUUACCUGAGAUAGAGGCAACAACAACAACAACACAAAGAGAGAGAGCCACGGUUAUGUGAGAUUAACAUAUUUCGCUAAACACCUAGUGAGAAAGUGUUUGAGAAUACGAUAAGUGCUUGACAGAAUGUUACAAUAAAAAUAGCCGAUAACGUAGUAACGUCUAUAUUCUACCAAUCUAUGUACAGUUCAAAAACUCACUUGCACUCUAGCUAGCUCAUUAUGCUUAGAUUAUAACGAUGUAUGAUAAGUUUUUGAGAGGAUAUAACUCAUUUCAUCACCUAUUGGUAUAACAUUACAACAAAAAUAAAAUAAAAUUGUGAAAUUAAAAUGAGAUUUACAGUUUUGGGUAAUAAUUUAACAUGAUCCUCUUUAAGGUCUUACUACUUUAGUUGCUAAUUUAACACACUACAACUACAAUAUUAAACUAAUAUAAAAAAAAAAAAAAAAAAAAUGAACACACUCAGUGUACAUCAUAGAGGGGGUAUGUUGAAAAUUGUCAAUAUGAAUUUACAUAGACAUGUUACUGGGUAAAAGUUUCUCAAAAAGUGUGUUGAAACUAAUGCAUUUGCUUAAUACGUAGUUAAGAUAAAAGAUCUAUUGUUUCUCAGACUCUCAGUGGGGGUAAAAUGAUGAUUUGACAAUCGUUAGUCUCCAAUAAAAAUCUCAAGCAAAAACCUCUCUGCACAUCAAGAUUAAUAUUUGCUCCAUCUAUCUAUCUCUCUUAGCCAUACUAUCUGCUCAACUAUUUUUACAUCCAUCCACAGUCAAUAAAAAAAAACACCAUGUACUUUUUAAAUAAGGCUUUAUCAAAAUUAUUUGGUAUCUAAGAGAAAAAAGUUACCUUUAACAUUAGAAUAAAACUUACAGCUUGAGACAGAUUGCAGAGUAGUAUCGUCUUCUAUAUUAAUUAACUCACUUUUGUUAAUUAGUAUUAGUUUGUUGUGUUUCUUUUAUAACAUGUAGUACAAAUAUAUUUUCAUAUACUAUAGUUUGAGGUACAGUUAGGGAGUCUAAAAUAUAAGAUACUCACAUACCUUAAAACAAUGGUAGGAAAGAGGUGAAUCAUGAAGAUGCCUCACUAUUUUUCUAGGCAAAUAGAUUCUUGAGUGUAACUCCUUCAUUUUUUCAGAAUUAGUUUUCAUAAGAUCACCCUUUAACAUCAAAUAUUCUCAUAAAAAAACGUAUUCAAAGGAUUGGCUUGAAUAGUCUAUGAUGCCUCCUUGUAUAUAAAGUUAGUGCGAUGCAUACAUGUUGUUGGGAAUCUUAUACUGUGCUUAUUUUACAACAUGCAUGGUCAUAGAUAUAACUCAAAGAAGUGGAGAAGAGGAAUCCAACAAAUAUAUAGAAGAACGAUGAAGACUACAACAUAUACCAAUUAACGUACAGGAAAAAAAAUAUUUGAAUUCAUACCUACAACUUUCUUAAGAACCUAACAACUGACUUCUUACAAAUUAAUUAAUUUAUUAAAAUCUCAGAACCUCCAACUUUUAUAAGUAGAUAACAUAGAUUUCAUCGUAACCAUGAGAUGGAAAUUCAGGUGGGCAUGUGUUUAGAGGUGUUAAUGAAAAAGUAUUGUCUAAGCAAUUGAAGAAAGCAACAAAGAGACUAAAUAAUAAGAAACUUAUAUCGGUUUAUUCAUAACUUAAUCCACCAAAAGUCAAAGUUUACCAAACCUUUAAGUUGUUAUAUUGCAGACUUUAUUAUCCCCGUCUUAUUAGCAUCCCAGUAUCAAUAUUCAAUAGUAUAGCGGAUUCUGCACCUCCAUUCUUCCAAUAUGCUUUUAGUUAUAUUCCUACCCAACAGUAUGAUUAAUCGAGAGACCCGCAACCAGCUCGUACAAUAAAGUUUUGCAGACUUAAACAAAAGCUUACUCUUGACGAUGUUCAAGAUAGUGGACCUGCAUAACAUGUAAAACUACUCAAAACAUGAUCGCCAAUUGUUGAAUUGAUUUAGAAAUUACUGAAAUUUAUUAUUUCAUGCUUUUCUGAUUCUCUCACACAAACAGUAAGUUACAAAAACAUAUAUGCACAAAACAGAAACAAUGAAGAACAAUAUUAUAAAUAGUAGGAUCUUUUUGCUUACAUCAAUUUGAGAGAGACAACUACGUAACAAAGGAUUGUAUAUUGCGUAGCCAUAUUUCAGCUAGCCACAUUGCAGAGAGAGCUAGUGGAUAAAAAGGAUUGUAACAAAUUAAUUUUAAGUUUGUCUUCAUAGGUUAGCUUUAAAAUAAAGAAACAUUGAAGAGACUUAUAAUUCAGUAGCUUGUAAUACACUAAUACUCAGUUUGGAAAAGAUAUGUGAUUCUUAACGUUUGAUGAAUAAUUGAAUCAACUUAAAAUUAAGAACUGGCUAAUGUGCUUGCAAAUACAUUAGCUAGUUCACCUGUUAAUUCAAUGACUAUAGUUCGAUUAACUUGAUAACUACAAAGUCUCAAAACAAAGUUCAAUACGAAUUGGGUAUGUAAAUUCCAAAGUUGAUAGUAUGUUCAAGUGUUCAACAAUAAAUUUCAAAGUAGAAAAUAAAUUCCGAAGUUCAACUAUUUGAUUGUAUGUAGUUCAACCGUCACAAUCAAGCUGUGGACUCUCCCUACUCCCUAGUGUUCAACAUUCCUUAAGAUCUAUAUACCCUCCUCCCCUUCCAGUGCACACUCUAGUACCAUUUAAACACAACCCAUCAACACACUAAUGUGAUUUUCAUGACAAUGGGAAUCUAAAAUUUAAAUCAAUUUGAUGUAAACUUGGUUUCAUACAUAACCAUUAACAAUCAUGGCUAAAAGCAUUAUUAUGUAAAUUGUAUUAAAUAAACUGCCUCAAUUGUCCAUUAAAAAACAUAGUGUUGUAGAUAAUACAAAUUGUUCCACAAUUGGGAAGAAGUAUAAAGUACUUGAUAAUCCAAGAUUAAAGCAGGUGUGUAGAAGACAAAGAGAUUAUGCAUCAGGGUGUAGAUGACAAAGAGAUUAUUAUAAUGGGAGAUGAGAGGAGGGGUAUGGAACAGGGAACUCAGAGCAGGAGAUAUGCAAAUUAAUGGAUAACCCGAACAUUUACAAAAUAUUAAUUCCAAAAUGUUGUUCAGAAUAAAACCAAUUUUAAACAAAAGUUCAUUAAGUUUUAUGUAUGAGGAGAAGAAAUAAAGAAUAUUGGUUGAUUUUAAUAUAAGAAAAUAUAAAUUGAAAUCGGUGAGUUAAAUAAAAAUCGAAACAGUAAGAACAUAUCUUUGUCGGCCCAAAAUACACCUUAAAUCAACCCAACCCAGUAUAGAAGCCAGCUAUGUUUGUCUAACCCCCAAAAUAUAUAGAAGUCAUUCACACUUGUUUAUAACUGAGAUUGUCUCAACUGACAAAAUAUAUUUCUGCCACAAUGGGUCACUGCUAAAGAUUUAAAGAUAAAGCUUCCAACAUUACAUUAUGGGAAGUUUUUAUGGUGUCAAGAGAAAGCAACUUAUACUAACCGGACAUCACCAACAUAAUUGAUAAAAAUAUUCUUAAUAAAAAAAAUAUUACUUAAUAUAUCACGGUGAGAACCAAAACUAUUAGCAAACUAUUUAUCUAUUCCAUACAUUAUCCCCCCACCCCUAACCGAUUCAAACUAUAAAGGGCAUUCCAUUGUCUUUGGAAAGCACAUCUGAGGAUGUUUUGGUGUGGACUCAUCACCAAUCUGGUAAUGUCGGUCAAAAAAAUGAAUCACUGACAGUCCAAUGUUAAUUUUUAUAGUCUGCCCUACCCUUCAUUGUACAAAGGACAUAGUAUAAUUCGAACAUCUGGCUUGAUAGAAUAGACAUCUAAGCCGGAGGUAAUGCAACAACCCUUCGACCCAUUUUUGUCUCACAACAGCUUUGCUGUAGAAAUUUUUAUUCUCUUAAUUUUCAAGAGCUUUUCAAGUUUUUUAAAGACCAUAUGAGAGAGUGAAUGGGUGAGUUUUUAGGAUACACGCUCAAAUAUGUCAUUGGAUCUAUCUGUUAGGUGCCUGGAUUAUGUUCAAUCGUUAUAAGGUGUUUGUAGCAAAUUGGUAAGGUCUGCAUCCAUGAAAAACAUUAACUCUAAAGACAGUCUACACACAAAACUGAAAUUUCAAUCUGAUACACACAGGGGACUUAUGGGUCACCUUAAAAACAUUUAUAGCAUUAAAACCUAAUAAAUUAUAUGCCUACAUAAUUGCACAGGAGACUAUCUAAAUUUUUUUUUUACUUGACAAUAUUUCGAGAUAAAUAAGCAUAGCCUAUUCUUCUUAAAAAUCACACACAAUUCUGAAUUUAGAUAAACAUAUCUGACUACUUUACAUAAAAUUUAGUUCUUUUCAAAUUGUCGUCUCAAUUGCAAUAACAUAAUUUAAUUUACACACAAUUCUGAAUUUAAAUUGAUUUGGAAGCAUAAACAAUUAUAAAGAAACAACAUCAACAAUAUUCAAAGUUCAAAUAAUUGGGAUGAAGACUUACUAUGAUAAAUUGAAGGAGAGAGAGAAUUGUGAUUUAAGUUAUCUGUAUCGAUUGAAGGAGAGAGAUCAGAGAGCGGGCAAGAUCGUGAUUUAAAAGUACCUUAAAUCACAACUUAAGCCCAUAUUCUCGACCUGGAUCUUUUAAUACCCAUUUAAACUAUUAAUACCCAUUCAAAGCCCAACAACUUAAGCCCAUAACUUAAACCCCAUAUUCUGUCUUUGUCUAGUUAUGUUUGUCUCCCAUGUUUGUGUGUCCACGCACAGUAUAAUAUAGAUACUAACCAUGCAUCCAUACAAUAAGUCGGGUAGCUGCAUCCUAUUAGAGUGGUGAGAAUACGACUGGAACUCAGUCUCAGCCCCAGGCAAAUCAUCUUGGUUCAGUACUUUCCAGUGUGAACCUGCACCGUUGUUUUCCUGAUUAUCCGGUCAGGUAGUGAUUACCGUUUUUGUGCCCGAAGACACUAACCCUCUUUUAGGGCUCAGGUGGGCCCUUUGACCACGUCUCCUGAUACGAGGAGUCCCUAACUUACGGUGGUCAAUCGUUCGACGACUGCAGAGUGCACAGGAUCCUGACACACGUCCAGGAGUAGACUAACUCUCACCCCUCGUGUCUAAACCUCCUCGAGGUAACAUGUAUCUCCACAACACACUAACCACCAACAACGUACCACUAAAAGCAUGGUAAUCCAGAAAGGUAGAAGAGGAAUUCCCGGAAACAUCCAACAGGGUUCGCCUCUAGAAAGUGCCCAUUCACCAUCUAAAGGUGAACAACGCGUAUGUAAUCCUAGAAAGAAUUGUCGUCUCUGAAAUAUAACAACAAUUCAUUCUUGUAGGAAUUCACAGAUCUCUUGUCAGACCGCCUCGUGAUACAAUAUAUAUAUAUAUAUAUAUAUAUAUAUAUCAAACCAGUCCCCUUUUCACGGCUACCCUACCCGGGCCAAACCUGGAGAGACUAUCCCCUAUUCAUGGCUACCCUACCCGGGCCAAAGCCAAAGGGAUUAUAAUCCGAUCUGUAAUAAUAUGUUCGUGUAAGCACCCAGAUCAUAUACCCAAUUCAGGAACCUCACACCAUACCAACAUACAACUGGGAUCUCACAUCCCACAUACAAAAUCCAUUUCCCUUUUCCCAUCCUGGAAAAGAGAUGCAAUAAAAACCUCGAUAGCUUUUCCGUUUAUAAAACCAUUUCAAUAUACAUAUACUGCUUUAAUAACUUCAGUAUAAAACAUGAUAUCUGUAUUAACCAUUUUUGUGAGGUUGGUCAAUACAUUAAUGAAUGAUGAUGAUGAACAACAAUAAUAAAGUAGAGACAUGAACACCAUUGUAUACGUGGUUCGGCAAUUGUGCCUACGUCCACGGAGAGGGAGAAAGAAGUUUAUUAUAGUAGUGGUGAUGAUACAAAAUGGGAGCUCGAUUAUGAGGAGAGCUCGAGAGAGAUGAGACCUGAGAGGUGAGGUCUCAUCAUGAGAGAUUGGAGAGGUCGUUGAUCAUGAGAUGACCUCACCAUGAGAUCGUGUUGAGAGCAUUAGACUAUCAGCAGAUCAGAACAUGUGAGAAGAUGAGAACGUGCCUAGAAUGAGUAGCUUGCCUUCAUAUUUAUAGGCUACAAUGUAACUCCAUUCUUAGCAUUUACUAGGGUAAUAAUGAGAGAAUAUCUUUGUAGUAAUUGGCUUUAACUUUGUAACUUGUGUCAUCAAGAGAGAGCCCAUUAGAUGUUGACACGUGGCACCAUGAUGAACGGUAGAGAUGGUGCCACAUGUAUGUUGUAUAUAGUACCCCUACAAUAUCUGUAACUAAUCACUUUAAUAAAAGCUAUAAUCGAUAAACCAUGAGUAAUCUAUAUAUACCAAACAAAACCAUGCAUGCAUUUUUAUCAUCAAUAAUAUAUCAAUUAAUUUGUAACAUUUAAAAUAUGACACAUGAAAAACAGUAUAAAAGAAAUGUAAGUCCCUACCUCUUGCUCGUUAGCUCCUUAACUUCCUUCUAAAUUUUAAGCUAAAAAACACUCAACUAGAAAUGCCGAUAUCCUAAAAACACGGUUGUGUAUACAUAAGUCUAAAUUAGUACUAUUCAAAUUAAUAUCAUUUCACAAGUUUAGGUGAAGUGUUUACCGGCAACUUCGUGCCAUUAAAAUCCACUUCCAAAGCAUUAUAAAUCUCGACCAAGUUGAAUUCUAUAUGGCUUUAAAACCCCACUUCCCAAUCAGGCCAUAAAAACCAUGAGCAAUGCCCUUUAUGUAUUGUCCCAACUCCCAAUCACAGCCAGUUAAUUACAGAUCAAAACACCAACUUCCUAUAAUUUUUAUACCCUUAUUGAAUCGUAAUUGCCGAGCUUUGGGUUGUAAUUAUACUGAGUUAUUGAAACCUUCAUCUUGUAAAUCAAAUCCUCCUAUAAUCACUUCAUGAAUCAUGAACCUAUAUUAUAUAAUACCUGAAAUCCCAACACAUCUAGAGAAUCCCUUGAGUUUACUUUCUUCCUCCAUUACCUAUUUCUCUAAACAAAAAGUCACCUCGCUGGAAUUUCUAUCUCAACAGAGAAAUUAUGAAAGAAAGAGACAGGCUUUCAUUGCCAACCAAGACACCCAUAUAGGACGGUAAGUUUUGAGCAGGAAGAAAGAAAGUGAUAAGCACUUACAUAUAUAUUAACUUGUUUUAAUUAAUUUCUCAUGUUAAUCCCUUUCCUAACUUUACUCCCUAUUCCAAAAUGAGACAACUUCUGCUAUAUAAAGUGAUGAAGCAUGCAACUCUCUCUCUCUCUGGUUUCUCAAAUAAGUUAAGAAAUAGGUGAACCAGGCCAGCUCAUCCUUGUAGGAAGGUACGAAGUGUUCGCAUUACAUCAACACCUAUCCACUCUAAAUACUAUGGACUUGUACUACCAUGGGCCACCAAUUUAUCUACACCAAACUACCUUAACAUGGGUGUUCGCCCCAGGAAGGAAGCCAAUGAGGAACUCCACCACUGCUGCUGCAUCUGGUCAUCUUGAUCGACCUGCUCGUUCUGGAGUUCUCUUGCUUCUUCAUUAGGGCCCAUCAAGGCAUCAUGCGUGCAGCUGGAGUAGGCUCAUCAACAACCGACGUCUCCUCUCCCUCGGGCGACCCCAACAGCUGUUUCUUGAGAUUGUCACAAUACUCUUGCCACUCAGCACCAUUCUUUCUGCAGAAGCCCUCCCAGUACGCAACAGAUUCCUUAGCAGCAGUAACCUCUCCUUGCAAGCCCUCCAUCUCUUUCUUCAAAGCCAUAAUCUCCCUAACCCUGUCCCUUACCUUAGUCUCGGCAACAAGAGCAACGUUUCUGGCCUGCUCGAGCUUGUCAUUCAGAUCGUUCUGCUCGAUCUCAGCCCUAGCUCCAACCUCAGCAACCAGACGCACUUCCUGGAAGCUAGCAUUGAGCUACACAAAUAACACAGUCAGAAAGCAAUGAACACAAAGUUAAAGGAAUCAAACAUUAUUCUUAAAACUCACCAGAGAAAGAGCAGAAUUUAUCUUCGAGCAGGUUACAAGAAGACUUUGAAACUUAACCAUUCGAGCUUCAGCAUCCAGAAUGGUGCCCUCGUUAACAGCUCGGGCAACACAAGGGUCAUCUAUAGCACUUUUAUUGUCAUAAACUACGUGCUUCCCUCCUUGGCCGUCAAGAUAUUCAAAGGGACCAAGUCAAAAUUCAGAUGAGGCACCCUUACCUUUACCAGAAUAACGAACAGCACACUUUCUAGACAAGGGAGUAGGCUCAAAAGCUUUCAAAACUUUCGAAGGGACAAAAGAGGGGAUGACUGGAGGUUGCUCUAUCAACUUCAAAUUCCCAGAGGACGACCUUUUCCUGCUCGACCCAGAAGGCAUCUUUGGAAGGGAGGUCGGAGGAGUAACGACCUGUGGGCUCGAAACAAGAUCGCUAGGCCUCGAGCUACCACCAGCUCAGAUAAAAUAGUUACUUAUCUGGGUCGAGCAGUGAAACACAUAUUUUUUACUAAAUGGGCACAACAAUGUCUCAGAAAACAUGAUUUGGAGCUAUUUUAGCAAUAUGAAGUAUCAAAACUUGUUUGAUGUUUCACUGGACAAAGCGUUAUGGGAAGGAAUCGGGUACCGAAGUUGCGCUAUUUUGCUUUCCAAGGAGGUCAUCUCAAUCUCGCCAUGGUGUAUUGCAGUCUGUAGAUUCGUAGAAAGAAAAGGUGUUUUUAUUCUAUCGUAAUAAAAAUAUUUAAUUUGAAGGAAGGCUGAAAGUGUUGCAAUUCCUUGUUAAGCUUUUAGGUUAGUGUCAUCUUCAAAACAAAUCAAAUAUAUUUUAGGUGAUGUCUUGUUUUUUGUUAAGAUGGACCCUAUAAGCAGAGUCUUGGAUCAGUUCUCUGUAUAUGGUUUGAUAUAAUUUUGUCUUCCGUUUGUCUGACUGUUCUGCUCCAUGACCUUUUCUUGUAUAUAAACAUGGAUCAGUACUAGACUUCUAGUAGAGCCUCUUUUCUUAUCAAACACAUAUUAAAUAAUGUAUUGUGAAAAUUGGAAUACCUUAUUCUGCAGAGGCAUUGCUAAUUUUAGUGGGAGAACAAUAUUAUAUGAUUCAUAUCCAUGUUGAACAUUAAUGUCAUCUUUUAAAAGUAAUUCUAUAGUUACUUUAUCUUUCGGAGUGGUUGUGUUACAUCUGCAAUUUGAAAAUUAAUGCCAUCAGAAAUAGCAGCUUACUUGAGUUGUUUCAUUGCUUGAGUAUGUAUCCUACCAGUUACCCUGAACAAUGACUUGUACUUGUGAAAUUCUAGAAUGCUGUGGCUUUUGCUAGCAAAAAAAAAAAAAAAGAAUGGUGUGGCUUUGAUGUGUAUGUGAAGGCUGUAGCUACCGCAAAGCAAUGCCGUGUUUUGAGGUUGUGGAUGCCUAUUUGCAUAUUAUUGCAGUUGUGUCUUUUACUAAUUCAGCAGUGCAGGUUACUCAGAUUGGUUAGAGUGGUACAGUUGAUCCUGAUCCUCAGAGCAAGCAAUACAUUUAUCACAAUUUAUUGAUAUGUGUUGAUCAAUGUUGCAAUUGGCAACCAACUUAUAUAAUAUAUAUACUGCCUAAGAGUAUCUAUUACAAGCAAUAGGGGCUAGGGUUUUGCACAGUUGAGUAUCUAUCCUUUUGGGGGUGUAUGUUACCGUUACAACAAAUUUCUUUUGAUUAAUCACAUCGACAUUCGACACCAAUGAUAAUCUAAAUCUAAACUACCUUAAAGAGAGCAGUCCUGUGAAUAGUGAAAUUAAGUCAAAUCUUCUCCCCAGUCAAAUCUCAUCUGCAAUCUUUCGUAUUCCUGUCUUCGAUUAAUCUCGACUUGCUGCCAUUCUUCCCACCUCUGUGCCGGUCCUUCCUCUUCCAACAUCCACACCACCUCUGACAUUGUUGGCCGCUCUUCGGGUGAUGGUUGAGUACAAAGUAGAGCAACUUUGAUCAUCAUCUCUACCUCUUGACUGUUGUAAUUCCUAGUUAAGUUGCGGUCCACAAUGGCUCCUAGUCUUUUCUCCCUUUCCAACUUCUUCACCUGUUGUAUUGACCAUAUUUGUGAGGUUGGUCAAUACAUUAAUGAAAGAUGAUGAUGUGUAUGAUAUGAACAAUAAUAAUAAAGUAGAGACAUGAACACCAUGUAUACGUGGUUCGGCAAUUGUGCCUACAUCCACGGAGAAAGAGAAUGAUCUUUAUUAUAGUAGUGGUGGUGAUACAAAAUGGGAGCUCGAUUAUGAGGAGAGCUCGAGAGAGAUGAGACCUGAGAGAUUGGGGAGGUCGUUGAUCAUGAGACCUCACCAUGAGGUCGUGUUGGGAGCAUUAGGCUAUCAGACCAUCUGAGCAGAGAUGAGACCAUCUGAGCAGAGAUGAGAACAUGCCUAGAAUGAGUAGCUUGCCUUCAUAUUUAUAGGCUACAAUGUAACUCCAUUCUUAGCAUUUACUAGGGUAAUAAUGAGAGAAUAUCUUUGUAGUAAUUGGCUUUAACUUUGUAACUUGUGUCAUCAAGAGAGAGCCCAUUAGAUGUUGACACGUGGCACCAUGAUGAACGGUAGAGAUGGUGCCACAUGUAUGUUGUAUGUAGUACCCCUACAUAAGCCCCCUCUUUUUAGGUCGAACGGAGUUCGGGCUGAAAAGAAGUAAUCGAACCGAUCUAGCCCCCAAGAUGAAUGAAAUAUGGGGUUCUUUAACGAAGUCGAUCCGCCCCAAAUUUUGAUGAGCUUGAUCAUUGAGAUUUGCAGGACGCGAUGAAGGUCCCUUGUGGUUAUGGCAACUCGAUCAUGAAUUUGUGUAUAGCGAGCUAGUUACUUCCAAGGAGACUUGGUAGCUCGUUCAGAAGGCAUGUAGACGAGAUGGACAGCUGCAAGCAGGUCGUACUGAAGUGGGUCUUCUUGUAUGCAUGGGUUGUUGGUCUCGGUCAUGCUUUAAGGUGGUCGCCUUUUUGUGGUCGAGUUGCAUAGACCUGAUAAUGUUAGCAUGUGAAACAUUAUAAAAUUCAAUAAAAGACUUACAUGGAAUUGUACGUCUUCCUUAUGACUUGUAUGUACUAUCUUUGUCUCCUUGUGACUGGACACUUCGAUAGAUAUGGCACUUUGGAGUGCAAUGUAGCUCGUUUGAGAAAGAGCAUUGGUUGACCAAGUGUUUUGAGAGUUACUUGGAACCUUUUGGUGCCCGAUCUAGUGAAUGGUCGCAGCGUGGAGACCUGUUUGACAAUUCUCGGGCAUGUGGCCUUUGUGGGUCUGCAUUGCGUUGAGAGUGAAUGCGUUCGACCAGGCCUAGCCUGUGGCUAGAGAAUUGUGUUUGAGGUCGUCCCGCAUACGAGUGACUCACUAGUCAAUGAGGGUGGCCGUAUUGUAUAUCAAGCAUUUCACUUGUAAAGAGUUAAGUGAAAGCAAUGUGGCACAUUUGUACAAAAAUAGCUCAUGGGGAGUGAGGUCGUGUUCAUGUGACCUGCACAUAGAGAGAGCUACAAAAAAUAUCAUUAAUAGCUAAAUGUGCUAAUAAUAAGUUAACUUCAUUAGAUAAAGUGAGAAUAGCCCCCUGUAUGGCAUAAACAUUCUUGAGGUCGUUGUAAGACCUGUAAUUUGAGGAGGUCGUUGAUAGACCUGGUGAGGUCGCGAUGAAGGACCUGGCAUGAAGGACCUGGUAUGAGGGUCUUGGUAUGAAGAACCUGAGAGGUCGUUGGCUUAGGGACCUGAGAGGUCUUUUGCUUAGAGACAUGCAUAAGAGGUCAGGUCGCGAUGAGACCUGAGCUCGUCUGCUUAGAGACCUGAAUAUGUGAGGAGGUCUCUGCAAGACCUGAACAUGUGGCCAUUAAGAAUGUAACUGAUGAUAUAAAAUCUUGAUCGAGUUAUGAGAAUAUAUGUUACAUAGAUGCAUAUAAUAGUCAAUUUAUAGGAGACAAAAUAGAAUGAACAGUAAGAUCAUAGUGAAUUGAUACUUAUCUUGCUUUCGUCGAGUUUCACAUACAGUAACCAAAAGUAAACCCCCAAUUUGAAAAUUGUGAUUGCAAUUCUGCCAAAUAGAAUUUCUUGAACUUGAAAUCACCACUUUGAGAGCCUUACAACAAUGGUGUAAUGGUGGGGUUGGUGGGUGGAAUUCGCUUGAGAAAAUCCCAAGUCCCUGUAGUCGGCGCCAAAUGUAUUGACCAUAUUUGUGAGGUUGGUCAAUACAUUAAUGAAAGAUGAUGAUGUGUAUGAUAUGAACAAUAAUAAUAAAGUAGAGACAUGAACACCAUUGUAUACGUGGUUCGGCAAUUGUGCCUACAUCCACGGAGAAAGAGAAUGAUCUUUAUUAUAGUAGUGGUGGUGAUACAAAAUGGGAGCUCGAUUAUGAGGAGAGCUCGAGAGAGAUGAGACCUGAGAGAUUGGGGAGGUCGUUGAUCAUGAGACCUCACCAUGAGGUCGUGUUGGGAGCAUUAGGCUAUCAGACCAUCUGAGCAGAGAUGAGACCAUCUGAGCAGAGAUGAGAACAUGCCUAGAAUGAGUAGCUUGCCUUCAUAUUUAUAGGCUACAAUGUAACUCCAUUCUUAGCAUUUACUAGGGUAAUAAUGAGAGAAUAUCUUUGUAGUAAUUGGCUUUAACUUUGUAACUUGUGUCAUCAAGAGAGAGCCCAUUAGAUGUUGACACGUGGCACCAUGAUGAACGGUAGAGAUGGUGCCACAUGUAUGUUGUAUGUAGUACCCCUACACCUGUAUAAAGGGGAAAUAUAUACAUAUCACUAAACAGUUAGAAACAAGAGAAAAUACCUGUUUUAAACAUCUGCAUUAAUAGAAAUGAAGAGAUUUCAUGUAUACCACAAAUGCUGUCAAUUGUUAACAAGUCAUUCAUACAACUAGACUGGUCAUGCAUACCUCUGAUUUUAGUAACAUCACAAAUUUACUGCAUACUUUUGUAAUUUUGGGAUUCAACAAGAUCAGUCACCUUCAGAACAGAACCAGUUUCCUUUUGUUACUUCAUAAAAAACUGGUUUGGCAUCUUAUGUGCUAUCUUGCACCCAGCUAAAUUAUGUACUGUAUAAGUCCGACUGGCUUAUUGUUGAAAAUUUUGGCAAUUAAUAAAUGGUAAAUAACUUCACGAAGUUGAGUGCUUACAUGAUCAAGCAAUAAUACAUCGUCUUCUUCCUCCAACCGUGAGAAAUCUAUAGCACGCUCUCCAACUCCCACCAAGUUCUUGACUUUCGAACUCUCUCAAUCAUCGUUCAUGGGGAUUCAAAUCAUUGAAGUUAAUGGAAUUUGCUAUUAAACGUAGCUGUAGAGUAGCAAUCAAAGUUGUUCUUUGUAUUAACCUAUUUCUAGAUUAAUGCAUUCAUUGGGUCAGGCCGUUGUUGGACUGACCAAAGGGGGAGUUUGAGAUCGGGGGUGGCUGCACCUCGAUGAGAUCGAGAUUGCCUACGUACUUUAGCUCGAGGGAAUGGAACUUAUAGAUCAAGCCAUGGUAGUUCUGAUUAUAUAAAAGAUGAAAGGGCGAAGAUCAUGGGAUCUUGCGGAUUCUCCGACAUCUUUAUGAUUGUGUAAUGUUCUCCAAUGAUUGUGUGAUAUUCUCCAAUGAUUGUGUAACAGCUGCCAUGAUUGUGUAACAGCUGGAGAUAUUCUCUAUGCGUUGAUUUAGGGCACGUGCAUACGAAGAGGUCGUCCUAGGUCGUAUAGUCGAGCUACUCUGAUCGGCCUUCAAGUAGGUCGAGCAGUGAACGACCUGUGAGAAUGAUGAGUAGGCCAUGUGUCGUGUUUUGAUUGGCUGGAGCAUAUAGUACCCCUACAUAAGCCCCCUCUAUUUAGGUCGAUAAAGAAAUCGGGUUGAAAAGACGUGUUGAGCUCUGAUCGAUGUUAGCUGAUUUGAAGUUUGCUUUUUGAAUUUCUUACUUUUACACGUGGUGGUCAUGCAUGCUUAUCUCGUAUCAUCAUUGCGCCUUUACGGGGAAGUGGAGAAGUUUCCUCGAGCAGUUACCAGAUGAGAUUAUGGCAACUGAAGUACUCCUUACUGAUUUCUCUUUGCUGGACACGCGGAUUGAUCCAACGGUGGAUAUGAAUCGUCGGACGAGUGGGUAAUAACUGCAAAGGUCGUGGGUGCCUUCGUUUGAUCUUGCCCGUUGAUGCUAUGUGAUUCGAUGGCUGGGAUCUCGUUUGUACUAGUAUUUAAACUGUAGCUUGUAAGCAAAGUUCUUACUUUCUUCAUUUACUCUCUCGAACUGCUGCUGUUUUGCCAUUGCGACCUGAAGGUCUUGAGAGUUUUUGAGGUGAGUUUGUAUUCUCUUGCUUUUUUCUUUCUUCUUUCGUUUCUAUUUACUUUGUUUUGUAAUUUCUGAGAGAUGUCUGAGGGUAGUGACCCCCAAAAUGACCACCUUAGCGGUGAUGGUGCUGGUGAAUAUGAGUUUGAUGAUGAACGGACUUGUUCUGGUGACGAAGCUGGUUCUCCUGAUCGAGAGGAAGAGUGUGAAGAUGAGGGGAGCCCUGCCUUCAGCCCAGCAAACUCUAUCUUCAUCUUUGGCAUUUAGCGUAGCAACAACAUUUUGACAAUCUCCUUCAAAAAUAACUUUCCUGAUCUGACACUUUAUUGCUAACAUGACGGCACACUCUGCAGCAAUGGCUUCAACAACCUCAGCAUCACUUUCUUUAACAAUACGAUAUCCACAGACUAUCACUUUACUAUCUGAAUCUCUGAUCAAUACACCCACCGCAACAAUACUUGUAUUCCUAUUAAUACCACCAUCAAAAUUAGCCUUAUAAACACCAUCAGGAUGAGCAAUCCAUUCUACCACAUUCUGUAUAUUAUUAGUAAGACCAAACCAGGAUCUGAUUCCACAAAAAACAAAUAUCUUUUUUUCCAAAGUUUCCAAUUAUAUAUAAGCAGUUUUAUUUAGGAUAGUAUCAUAUAAGCAUUGUACUUUAGCAAAAAUACAAUCAUUUACUUAUCCUGGUUGGUGUAGAUAAAUUGGUGGCCUGGCCAGUCAAAUCUUUUCACAGGACUGCUCUCUUUAAGGUAGUUCCCGAUCUUGACAGUUCCCGAUCCUGACAAAGAUUAUGUUGUUUACACUGAUGCUUCGAUGAUAGGAUUAGGUUGUGUACUGAUACAAGAUGGCAAAGAACCUGAUACGAACUCUAAUCCAAGCAAUGUGCAGCCAUCAAACUCGGAAUCUCGAGCACAACAAAAUUCUGAUGCAGAGGCUGUUGACAGUGAUGAUGACCUGGUCAGUACCACUCAACAGGAUGGAGAUAUGCGUUUUGGUUUUGAAGAUGUGGAACAGCUCAUGAAUGAAAUUGGUAAUGUUCGUGGCAACUUGAGGUUGAUGCCCGAUUUCCAGAGGAGGGAAAUGGCUGCAAAAGUGGCAAUAAAAAUGGCUGCGAUGUUUGGAGAUAGCAGUGCUGAUGAAGAGGGGUUUGAUUGAUAAAGCUUGUGUCAUAAUAAGCAAAGUGAACCGAUCAACAGCUCCUCCAUUUGUCUGCUGAUUACAAGUCAAAUUCAUGUUAAUUGAAGAAUUGGAAUAUCUGUAAAAAAAAAAUGUGGUGAAUCAUCCUUUCUUUACUUUUUUUUUUGCUUAUAAAAGGGUGUAAGGUAAGGGUACUUUUAAUCAUGAUUUUUCUUAAAAUUUAAGGGCACACUUCUCAUGUCAGUAAAUCUUGAUCGAUACUCUAGAGAGUAGAAAGUAAUUUCUUUAAGGUUCUAUUAGACAGAAGCCGCG
rnacentral:lncRNA from 1 species